rnacentral:rRNA from 1 species
GUGGGGAAUAUUGCACAAUGGGCGCAAGCCUGAUGCAGCAACGCCGCGUGAAUGAUGAAGGCCUUCGGGUCGUAAAGUUCUGUCCAAAGGGAAGAAUACAGUGACGGUACCUUUGGAGGAAGCCCCGGCUAACUACGUGCCAGCAGCCGCGGUAAUACGUAGGGGGCAAGCGUUAUCCGGAAUCACUGGGCGUAAAGGGAGCGUAGGCGGUUUGACAAGCCAGAGGUGAAAGGCAAUAGCUUAACUAUUGUAAGCCUUUGGAACUGUCGAACUUGAGUGCAGGAGAGGAAAGUGGAAUUCCUAGUGUAGCGGUGAAAUGCGUAGAUAUUAGGAGGAACACCAGUGGCGAAGGCGACUUUCUGGACUGUAACUGACGCUGAGGCUCGAAAGCGUGGGGAGCGAACAGGAUUAGAUACCCCGGUAGUCC